ACUCUGAGGAGUGAGGGAGAAGACAGGACUUACGUCUGCAGCACCUUCUGCUUCUGCUCAAGUACCGAAUGCCUUAAGUCAGGAGCUGCCUUUCAGCCCACAGGCAUAACUACGUUUGCUGUCUUCUUCAUCAAUGUGGGUGUGAAGUUCUCAGAAGAAAAAGAAAUGCAUUGCCUUCAGCCUCCACCCCAACAGUCACCUCUGGAGGUCUUCAAUAUGGUCACUUCAGGUGUGUGGAGGAAAGUUAAACUCCUAGCAGCUACGAAACACUAUAAAUGUGAUGUGAAUGUGGUCAUGCGGCAGUGGGAAAGUAUCUCUCCUUAGGAUAGUUUUCCAAGGAGGGAAGAGGUGUACAGAAUUGCCAGAGCAGGCAUCCACAAGAAAUGUCACUUUGAGGUAUCCUGAACUGAGCAUCCAGCCUGUCUCUAUAUCAGAGGAUAAGCAAUUAAGGUGCAUUUUGGGUUUAUUUGUCUUUAUCGGGAUAUUCUCUUUGGGUUUUUUAACACAGUUGAUGCAUUUACAAGGCAUGGUAUGCUGAUGGUCAAUGAAGCUGUAUUUAUAGGAUUACUGAAAUUACUUAUUCAACAGGAAGGCAACCUAACCAAUUCAUCAUUGUUUAAAUUUUAAUUCAGUGAAAAAGUAACCUCUGGAAAACACUGUUUGCAUCUAUAAUUAAUAGAUUGUUAUGUGCUGCAGUUUAUAAUUUGAUGUACUUUCUUCAAACUCUGUGGAGAAGUGUUUCAUGUGAACUCUUUCUGAAUUCACAACAGAUGAAAAUUGCCUGGCUGAUUUUAUACGUGGAGGUUCAUUUGCAGGGGCAAGCAGAUCCAGUUUGCUGUUUGCUGUCUAAUACAAUUUAGACAGAGCAGCGCAAGGCUCCCUUUUUCUCAUGACGGUGAUUCUCCCUCCAAAAUGAGGUUCUGGCAGUCUGCUUUCAUACGAAGUAGACUCAAAUGUAAUUAUGCUGCUAUGACAACUUAGUCUUACAGCACUCACAGUCAUUUUUCUUCUUAUAUUUGUAGUGCUGCAAUGAGUAGAAACUGAUUCUGUUUUCUCUUCUUCCAGUUUAAAUAGAAAUGCACAUCAAUGAAGUCUAAGUUGUGCUGGUGUAAGGUAAGGAUCAGCCCCAACUGCUUCUCUCUUAAAAUGGAGGGAGUGAAAAGAAGGAAAAAAUAUAACAUGCCCAGUCCCCAAGCUCCAAGUUAAGCCAUGUCAGCCACCUCUAUCCUCACAUCUGCAUGGGCAAGGAACUCUCCUCCAUGCUUCCACUGGAAAAAAACAGCCACAGCCACCUCUCUUCCCGCCUUGCUUUCCCUCGGGAAUAAGCCACAUCAUUUCUCCAGAGGCCCUUUGUGCAUGCUUUCACCCGAGCUGCUCCUGAGGCUGGGGUGGCUUAUGGCAGGAGAGCUACUAACGGUUGUGCAGAGAGGCUCGCAUUGAAAGAAAACAAGACCCAAACAAUCUUUUCUGGCCACUGCAUGGUGCCGCUGGAGGAAGACAGUCUGAGGGGCUGGGCUACAUAUGGGAAGAGUCGGUGAGGGGAAGCUGGCUCAAAGGAUUGUGCUGGUCAUCCAGGUUGUUGGAGAGAUUAGCUUCUCUGGUGGGAAAUCAGAGGAAAUGUUCAAUAGCUGAAGAGUGGUUUAUAAAGAAUGACACCAGCUUUCUGUUCCCUACCACCUGUGCCUAGUCUUUGUAUGAGGUCUGAGCCUGCUGUGCCCUGCUAUGAAAGCAGAACCUGUGUUCCAACGGGUUUUAUCUUCCCCUUAGAUCUUCUUGUCCAGCCUUUGAAGCAGGCAGUAGAAAGUGUCUUUAGAGGGUCACUUCAAAAUUUGGAGCCUGGUGCAGGCAUGCUAAUGCAGAAUGCCUGGGGCCAGCCCUUAGGGAACAUGUGGUUUCAUCAUCAAGAUGUCUCCAUAAUUGCUUCCAAAGCCAAAGGUUUUCCGUGGGUUUACCUUUGAUGAGUUAUGUUCAGCAAAAAUUUUAAGUGUAGCCAAUGUAACUUAAUUGGCAGUAACACCCAGGGAGAUGUGGAGAGGUGCCAAAGGUGUGAUAGAGAGCAUUUUAGUUUCAUGUGGCUUCCCGAAGCUCCCCAGAACACACUGAAGACAGUCCAGACAUUUUUUUCUUCUUUUUAUUUAAGGAAAAAAUAUUCCCUUUCCAGCUGUGAAAGCAACUGCAUAGGCCAGAACAGAAGGUGUUUGUGGUAGAAAGACACGCAGGAUUAGCCAGACUAUUUUGAUUUUUUUUUUCUCCCUGAAUUCUAUAAGGAGAAGAGGGGCUAGUAUCAAAUGGCAAGAGACUCAGUAGGUACUUCUCUUCACCUGACAUGCUCUCUGUCACUUAAAGUUGAGACCUGAGGUCAGAAAAAGAUUGUGCUUCGUCAGCACGGCUGAGACAGCUGCCAGACUCAGCAAGGGGCAAGGGGUAGCCUGUGGGUCACCACCUCUGAAACAGGCUCUUGUAUAAAGCGAUGACCCACACCUUUCCUGGUCCAGACCCUCUGAUGCCCCACGGUCCUCAUUCCCCUGUCUUAUUCCCACUAUGCUCCCUCUACCUCUUUGAUGCCAUAUGGUCACCUUGCAGUGGAGGUGUAAUUCCCCAGUGCACCCAUCCAACAGCUGCCAUUUUCAGAGCUGGGGGUAAAAAGGAUGAGCACAACAGGUCUUACAGAAUCAGAGAAGGACACCUCUACAGCCUCCUGGGGUCCUGCAAUACAGCAGAAAAAAACAAGUUAAGAAAUAGCAAGCAUUAAUGGUAGAGAAGUUGUGGGUCUGUGUAAACUGUAUGGAUUGCCACCUUGCCUGUGCAGGGUUGUUUCUAGGUUUAACCCUCUGAAGCCCUGGAGCAGUGGUGGAAACGUUCCCCAGACAAGGGAAACGUGAGAUCCACAGUGGAUUCAGACCUCUUUUGACAUGCACCCCGCAUCUCAAGUGCUUGAUUCUGGGUGAUUCUGGGUACUGCAGAACCUGUCUCUCCUCCUCUGGUUUGACAGCAGGGUCUUUAUCCAAGGAUAAAGUUUAGUAACCCCAGACACAGAAAAGCUGCUUUCAAAAUGGCAUCUGGCAGCCCUGUCUCUUCCUCUCUGCCCCUGCCUCAGAAACGGAGAACAGACAGCACCGCAGGUGGUUUUCCUGUGUCACUUCUAUGGCUUUGAAACAGCAGCCUCAGUCUUUUCUGAGAAGAAACACCUCAUUUUCUGCUUGCUCUUUGAUAUUUAUUUCCACGGAUGAACCCAGAAGGUUUUGUACUUUAAUCGAAUAAUGCAGAUUUCAGGUACAGGCUGGUUGCUCUGAAGUUCUUGAAAGAAUACAAGACAUUUCUUCAAUGAAAUAGAGACCUAAACCCAGAACUGACUUCACAAACACUGUUUCUGUCCCAAGUCCCACAGCUGCUAGUACGUGUUUCUGGCCAGCUGUAAUGAUGUCUGCUAAGCAUCUCCUGGCUGAAACAUCACAUUUUCUCUGAUGGGUGACCCUUUCACUGUCUUGAUGUCUAGGCUUUUUAUGUCUUGCAGAUCAAGAGUUUGUUUGAGACUCUCAUGAAAGCUGAGCCAGAUCCUUGACAAUAUAAUGUGGUUGUGGGACUUGUCUGUAGCUGAGUGAGAUGAAACUGGAAGGAGAACUUCUGUGUUUCCAUUGACCUACUGGUAAGACACUUGUCAGCUUACAACCUUCCAGCUGUAGAGGUUCCUGGGGAACCUUUCCCAGGGGAAGGUCUUAAUGCAUCUCCAUAUACACAGCAGCUGUUCUCCUCUAGGCAAAGUGUUCCUGAGCCAAUUUUAUAUCGUGUCAGUAUUCUGCCCAGCCUCUCUCCUCUUCCAUAUACUGCUCCUUACACCCUCCAUUCCCAAAGGAUGUCCUGCUGAAGACCAGUCUGCUUCACCUGUCCUCCAGUUUGUCCUCAGCUCUGAGAGUACUUGUGCUGUUGCAUGUAAAAUCUUUCAACUCAGGAUCUGUGUGCACCUCCUCUCUCAGUAGCAGGUCUGCUUAAGCUUGUAGACCCAGCUGUUUUUUUCCUCAGAAGUAAAAACCUGCUCCUGCUUCUAUCCAAGGUGAAAAUACCUAAGCAAGUUCAUUACUAGAAGUAAGGCAUGUUCACAAAAAAAAAAAAAGUAUAUGAAAGCUUUAUGUUCUCACAUUCUGAAUUCUUCCACAGUAAACUGCCUUGUGCCAUCAGUUGUAUCCCCAUAGAGAGUGAAAAACAACGCCCAGUGCUGUUGUCUAUCACAUUUACUUUGUGAAGAUGUUAAUGACUGUGGGACAAAAAUGCAAUGGGUCUUCAUUGAGGAGAUAGUGCCAUUUUGUUCUGAGAGGCUGGUCGUAACAGAUGAGAUGUACAUGCUUGCGUUCUGGUAUGCACUUCUCAUUUCUUCUUACAGAAACAAAGGCAAAAGUCACUCACACCAACUGAUGGAUGUUGCAGGAUAAGUAUUCUCUCUUUUGAGGAUUUCAUAAGAGAAAAAAUGGGAAUCCCGCUCUUCCACCCUCCUCUGUAUCUCACAUCACAGUCUCUUGAGAAGUGGUGGCUUUCUUCCAGGUGAUGCUCAAACUUAAUAUUAACAACAGCAAUUUGUUAUCAAUAAAUUGGAAGUAGAGUGAUUCAGCAUCAUAAAAGAGGUUGGAACUCAUUGGGAGUCUUGUUUAGCUUCCUUUGUUGGCUUAUAUAGUAUUCAACAAACAAUGUUUCCUUGUUUUGAUUCCAUAUUAGAUGCUAUGGCUCUCCAUUUCACAGUUACCAUAAACUCAGGUACAGCAGUGAUGGGAGCCAUAUAAGUACCUAGAUAGAUGAUAAAAAUAUUGUUGCUGAGUCCUUCAGGAUGUGCUUUGUGAGAGAAAACACUUAAUCUAAAGCAUAAGGGGUUGUUAAAUUUUACUAUAUAGCAUAUGCAAUACUAGAAUUUAUUAGUGUAGUGUUCAGUACAGUAACUGAUGUGCUGUUUAAGUAUUCUUUAAAAAAAUCUGUGAAAUAAAAGAAGUUGCCAAACUUCUUGCCUCAGUCUUCCUGUUUGCAAUAUGUGAAUGUUGGUGAUACUAAGUGGAAAUGCAGUAAAUUGAAUACCAGUGCACAUAUAUAGCACACAGGUAGAACACGAUUGACGUGUCCUUGAAAGAUAUGAUUCACGUGUGUCCAGAUCAGUAAAGGACUGAUUUCUACUUUAGCUGCAGUAAUAGAACUGCCUGCCAUGGACACCGCUUACAACACUCCAUGCUUGCUGCAUUUAAGAAAGUGCAGGAGAUCUGACUGGGAUUAGAUGCAUUGUAGCAUUCUUCAAGCUGUCUGUAGCUAACAGCUCUGUCAUGUUGAUGACCAAAGCUGUUCCUGACAAAAUAACCUACAUGAAGGAGUAACACAAUCCCUUUUUGAGUUUACACAGGCCCUCAAGCAGGCUAAAUAUCAUUUGCUGCCAGGUGCGGUCACUGCUGUGAGGAGCUCACUUCUACCUGUACAGUGCAAACGUGAGGGAUAACCAACAGAAAAAAAAGAAGUGUAAAGGAAGGAAGGUGGUGUUACCACUAAGACCAUUCAGCAAUGCAGUCCCAGAGAGCUGUGUAUUCAUUAUUUGCCAUAUAUAAUACUAAUUAGUAGAAAAUAUUACCAACUUUUUUUUUUCCCGGUGUGUUAUACAACACAUUUUUACAUUUUUGCAUUUAUAUUCACUUUCUCUUUUAAACUGAGUAUGAAAUGACAGGAUUAGCCUGUAGCUGCUUUCAGCACGCUGGGAGGGUAGAGUGCCAUUUCUUUACCUUUCCACUGUUUGAGGGAAAAGCAGUCAUUCUUUACACAAAAUCUGCAUCAGUGGCAGCUUCCUAGCUUGAUGUCUGAAUUUAGUUUUUAAAAAUUUUGAAGUGCCAGCUUUUUCUGCAUAAAAGCUGCUUAUCCCUCAACAGCAAGAACUUCAAACAAUUUGCUGACAGUAUCUAGACAGCCUCAACUGAAAAAGCUUGCGAUGGUUACAGGUUCGCUUGGUGAAUGGGGGAGAUUAAGAGCAAAAUCCUACAGUGAUGAUCACCAUUACACUGAAGUUCCUCUCUGCUGUUGAUCUUUACACGUCUUCAGGGAUGAGCACCACUUUCCACAUUUCCCCACCCUGCAGUGUGCAUAUGUUACCACUCUGCAGGAGCAGCCUGUCCCUUUAUGCUCUCUUGAUGUUGGAUCUUGGCUCAGUCAAGAGGCAGCCUGUGCUCUGCAGCGCGCUGCUCACAUGUGGCUGGUGGUUGUCUCAUGCUCCUUCAUGCUAGUUCGCAAAGCCAAAAUGUCUACUUCACACCUUUCAGAGUCUGACAUUUAUUUGCCCCUCCUCCAUGUCUCCAGAGUAGCAGCGGAGUACAGUGCAUUUAUGCUUUUUUAAAUCUGCAUGACAGGCAGUGAGACGCAUUUUAAUUAUUUUCAUCUCAGUAUGUGCAACAUAGAGGGACGGUGUAUUGAUUUUCCUGUUUAUUUUCCAAUCUCUGAGUGCAUAUGUGAUUUUUGCUGAGCCGCGGUAGGCUGACAACCUCAAGCUCACUGAUAUUGGUCUUUUCAGCUGACUCUUCCUUCCAGCUUUUACUUACCUACUGCAUACCUUGGGGAUCUACCUUUACUCUACACAGUACUCAGAAGCAUAAAAUUCAGAUACGUGUUGAUACCAACCCCUGUUUUUCUGAGAUCUGAAAGGAGAAAGCCACUACAGAGGUAAGGGCCCAGAGAGCUUAGGAAGCUGACCCCUGUAACUGCAGCAUCUGAGAAACACCUGAAUACCUAUGGGAAUACCAACCCUGGUGUUUAUGUACAUGGUCUGCUUCAAUUCUGGUACCAGGGUCUACCUAUAGCAUCUCUGCCAUCUGUGUCCAGUGUCUACUGGAAUAAGCAAGAUCUACACAGGUCAGUGGAUUUGGAGAAGGAAUUUUUCAAUUAGGGUUUUUGGAGGCAGCUUUGGGUGUGCAGCUCCAUGUAUUAGAUGAGAAGAGGGCCUGAACUGACAUAACACAGUUUCAAGCAGUAGGUGCUCUGAUCCUUCAGUGUCUCAUGAUCC